rnacentral:tRNA from 1 species
CCCCGCCCCGCGUAGCUCAGCGGUAGAGCAUCCGGCUGUAGACCGGAGGGCCCCCGGUUCGAAUCCGGGCGCGGGGACCA